rnacentral:tRNA from 1 species
GGAGAGAUGGUAGAGUGGGCGAUUACAGUAGUCUUGAAAACUACCGUACCGAGAGGUACCGGGGGUUCGAAUCCCUCUCUCUCCGCCA